GACAGAGGAUGCAAGCGUUAUCCGGAAUGAUUGGGCGUAAGCGUCUGUAGGUGGCUUUUAAGUCCGCCGUCAAAUCCCAGGGCUCAACCCUGGACAGGCGGUGGAAACUACCAAGCUGGGAGUACGGUAGGGGCAGAGGGAAUUUCCGGUGGAGCGGUGAAAUGCGGUAGAGAUCGGAAAGAACACCACGGCGAAAGCACUCUGCUGGGCCGACACUGACACUGAGAGACGAAAGCUAGGGGAGCGAAUGGG
rnacentral:rRNA from 1 species